AAAUGCCAGCCAAUAAAAUCUUUUGAUUGAUUUACUUGAUAAAUCUUGAAUUUAAAAUGAGUACGGAAAGAUCAAUUCCUAAAAUCCCAAGAUAGGAACUACACAAGAAUUUUGAACGAGUGAAACUUUAAAGAAGUAUCAAACUUGGGUCAUAGUCCUAACAUUUUUUAACAAAUAAAGUUGAACAAAUAAACUCAAGUGCGAUUGGAUGAUUUGCGUAAAUAAAUUUGGGAAUCUACCAAUUUA
rnacentral:lncRNA from 1 species